UGCCUGGCGGCCUUAGCGCGGUGGUCCCACCUGACCCCAUGCCGAACUCAGAAGUGAAACGCCGUAGCGCCGAUGGUAGUGUGGGGUCUCCCCAUGCGAGAGUAGGGAACUGCCAGGC
rnacentral:rRNA from 2 species